GCGUAGAGACUCAUAUAAUAAUGCAAUUCAAUGCAGUUACAUUGCAUUGUGUGUUAGUGUAGAUCCAGCCUAAGGCUCCACUGGAACUUAGCAAGGCAAUGGGUUGUCUCUAGAUGGGACUCACAAUUGGAUUUAGGCCAGCAUAAGGGAAGUGUUUGAAGUGCUAGAAUAAAGAGAAUGAGAGAAUCAUUCAGUAAAGGACUGGGUGAACUGUAAACAGAAAGAGUUUCAAAUGGUUUCAAGUGGUUUCAAGUGGCAACUAAAAAGUGAAAUUUCACUGUGUUAACUACAGCCUUAGAGACAAAAUAAAAUUCCAUGGGUAGUUUCCUCCCAGGAGGAAAACUGUAUAAAUACCAAGGAUUUGGAAAGGUGCAGAGCAAGCCAAAACCACCAGCUAAACCUGGGCGAAAUGACUAUGAGUUACAGGAGUUUGCUAACCUUCAAGAAGAUGUUGUUACCAAAGGAAGUUUUGGAUCAUCACUUACGAACUGGGUUCUAUCCAAUAAUCUAGAAACUGGUAAAAACUUGAAAGAUGAAGCAGAAGCACAGUUCCGAGGACUUCGAGAACCUUGCUUUCAGAAGAGGGGCUAUUGCCUGCCUCGCAUUUUUGCUUGUAACUCAGGCUUCGUGUUCAAGGAACAGUACAACACUUGCUCUGAAAAGAAGCUUUAUAAGUGCUGCCUUCACUGACAAACUCAACAACAUGCUGAAAUCUCUUAACACAAUGUUAAGUCAUCAAUUCCUUACAUACCUUUCAAUAAAUUGUCUGUUGAUUAUUGCAUUCUUUGUUUAUCGUAUUUUGGAGUGUGGUUUUUUUGGCUUUGUGUUAUCUAUUUGCUUAAAAGUGUGGUCCCAAAAUUGGGCAAUGUGAGAUCAUCACAUUAUUCUUUGAGUUAAAAUCUUACCUUAGAUUGAACGUUCAACCAGUGUGCAAUUCUGGAAGGAGAACCGCAACUGAAUGAUACAGAUUGAACAUCCCUUCUCUAAAAUGUUUGGGACCAGAAGUGGUUCAAAUUUCUGAAUGAUUUUUGGAGUUUUUUGCAUAGUGAUAAUGAUAUAACUUUGAGGUGGGACCCAUAUCUAAACAUAAAAUUAUUUUAUGUUUUUAUAUGCACCAUAUACUGUAUAAAUAGCCCAAUGGUCAUUUUAUGCCCAAUAUUUUAAAUAAUUUUGUGUGAAAAAUUGGUGUAAGUUGAAUGAUCAGAAAACAAAGAUGUCACAGUCUAGAGAUGUUAUCCCAUGCUGCCCCCCCCCCCUCAUUUCUAGACACUUUGAAAAUAGAGAGUUAACGAUAUAUAACAGAGACCAUCCCAUGACACAGGGGAAUUCCUGUCUGCGCCUGUCCCAAAUCAUCAGAAAAGUGUCUCAAAAGUCCUAGAAAAUGGGGAGUGGGGGAGACAGGCAGAGAUUGUCUUUUGAGGUCAGGAAAAAUGGCAAGAAAAUACGGGAUGGGAGUUGUCAAUUUUCCCCGGGCUGAAUUGCUUCAAUGACGUGGAGUAAGGGGUGUUUCUGUGUUAGGAAUUGUGGGAGCUGAAGUCCAAAAAACUUGGAGAUCAGAAGUUUGCCAAUGCCUGGUUUAAACUGACAUAACAUGAAAUACGGUUUUUUAAAAAUCAAAAAGUUAUAAUAAGAACAAUUUACUGAAUUUUCAUAAUUGUGAAUAUACAAAAAUUUAUAAAUUUAUUAUUUUUGAAAAGAAAAAUAUGUUGAUCAGGACCUCAUUUUUUUCUGGUGCAAGAAGACAAAAUCCUAAAAAAGUGGGGAAAAUAAUUUAAAAUGCUAAUAAUUUUUUAACCUGUGAGAACAUCUUUGAAUGCAAUUUUCCUGCUUCUUGGCAGGGGGUUGGACUGGAUAGCCCACAAGGCUUCUUCCAACUCUACAAUUCUAUGAUUCUAUUAUCUCUCUUGACUUCUCUAGAUCCUCUAGGACAAUUUUCAUAUAAUCAACUUCUGCUGGAUCAUAGAAUCAUGCUGGAGGACCUAGAGAUUCCUCAAGAAAUGAUCUCUCUAGAAACCUUUAGGUCCUCCAGGACAACUCGAUGAUUGAUUUCCAUUAGCCAAUUUCCAACUUUCAAUAGAAGUUGACUAUAGAGUCACUCUGGAAGACCUAGAUAUUCCUAGAGAGAACAUAUUAAUGAAAUCCUCAAAAGUUUAAUCUUCAAACGUUGAAGGACUGAUUGUAUUUUUAUAUUACAAAUUUUAUUUUGAAACUUGAGCUGGGGUAGGUGGAUUUCUACUAAUUCUGCCUCCAUCCAAUAUUCCUCCUGAUUUUAACUUCAUGAUUCUGAUCCAUGGCUCAAUUGUUGAUGCCUCCCUCCUCUCAUUUAAGGAGCAACAAGAAGGGGUGGGUGGAUAUCGGGAAGGCUGGUAGCCUUGCUGAGUGACCAACUUUGCUUCCUUCUUCCUACAAACCAAGUCUCAGCUCUUCUUGUUCUCAUUGAUUCUGGCACAUACUUGCAAUAUGGAGGAAUGGAUUUAUUUAAGCCAUAGUCUUACGGCAACUCCAAUCAUGAGGCAUAGUUGAAAACUAAACUCAACAUAAUAUUUGUAUAAAGUUAUUUCCUUGUUUCAUGUGGUGUGGAAGUGAGAUGACAUCUUGCUGAUUGAAGUCAAUGAGAAAUGUCAAAACAGAUUAAACAAAGGAGCAUUCUGAAUAUUUACUGGCACUGUGGAUUACAGUCAAAGAUAAAAAAACAACUUAUAAAAUAUAUAAAACAACUUCCUUUUUCUGGAAAUGAGAUUUUUUGGCUCCUCCUAGUUUUUAUCCUUUUUCUUAGCUGUUGUGACCAUUUCUGAGCCUAGUGCAAGCCAUGGUUCAUUCUGGUGAUCUUGAUUAACCUCCUGAGCCCUCUCCUUCCAGGUCUAUAUUCAUUUGUGGCCAUGAGAGGUUAAAAUAAUGGCCACAAAUGAACAUAGAACCUGAAAUGAGGGGC
ensembl:lncRNA